CAGCUAGUUGGUGGGGUAAUGGCCUACCAAGGCGACAAUCCGUAGCUGGUCUGAGAGGACGACCAGCCACACCGGAACUGAGACACGGUCCGGACUCCUACGGGAGGCAGCAGUGGGGAAUAUUGGACAAUGGGGGAAACCCUGAUCCAGCGACGCCGCGUGUGUGAAGAAGGCCUGCGGGUUGUAAAGCACUUUUAGUGGGGACAAAAAGCUACGGACUAAUACUCUGUGGUCUUGAUUUAACCCAAAGAAAAGGCACCGGCUAACUCUGUGCCAGCAGCCGCGGUAAUACAGAGGGUGCGAGCGUUAAUCGGAAUUACUGGGCGUAAAGCGCGCGUAGACGGUUUUGUAAGUCAGAUGUGAAAUCCCUGGGCUCAACCUGGGAACUGCAUUUGAAACUGCAUGGCUAGAGUAUGGAAGAGGGAAGUGGAAUUUCCGGUGUAGCGGUGAAAUGCGUAGAUAUCGGAAGGAACACCAGUGGCGAAAGCGACUUCCUGGUCCAAUACUGACGUUCAUGUGCGAAAGCGUGGGGAGCAAA
rnacentral:rRNA from 1 species